rnacentral:rRNA from 1 species
UACGUAGGCAGCGAGCGUUGUUCGGAGUUACUGGGCGUAAAGGGUGUGUAGGCGGUUGUUUAAGUUCGGUGUGAAAUCUCCCGGCUCAACUGGGAGGGUGCGCCGAAUACUGAGCGACUAGAGUGCGGGAGAGGAAAGUGGAAUUCCUGGUGUAGCGGUGAAAUGCGUAGAUAUCAGGAGGAACACCGGUGGUGUAGACGGCUUUCUGGACCGUAACUGACGCUGAGACACGAAAGCGUGGGUAGCAAACAGG